GAAGGCCACUAAAAUCCACUGUUGUGGCUAAUCCUCAUUGUGUCUAGCGUCAUACAGGUCUAUUUACGAACGGGGAAAUAACGGGGAACUGGGAGUGAAAAAAGUACCGUUUUGGAAUUACGACUUUGUGGAAAAUAUGGAGUUUCUCAUAGGAAGCCCCUUCUCUUCUCCUGUUGGACAACGAAUUGAACGAGCCACCAGCGCCGCGCUGCAUGCAGAAGACUGGGCCCUUAACAUGGAGAUAUGUGACAUCAUCAACGAGACAGACGAAGGACCCAAAGAUGCAGUCAGAGCCAUAAAGAAGAGGAUUGUUGGUAAUAAGAGCUUCAGGGAGAUCAUGUUGGCUUUGACAGUUCUGGAGGCAUGUGUAAAGAACUGUGGCCACCGGUUCCAUGUUCUAGUGGCAUCCCAGGACUUUGUGGAGGGGGUUCUGGUCCGAGCCAUCCUGCCCAAGAACAACCCUCCCACCACCCUACACGACCGGGUGCUGAGCCUCAUACAGGCGUGGGCCGAUGCGUUCCGUAGCUCUCCCUCUCUGGGAGGUGUGGUCUGUGUGUACGAGGAUCUGAGGAGGCGGGGCCUGGAGUUCCCUAUGACCGACCUGGACGCCCUCUCCCCCAUCCACACCCCCCUCAGGAGCAUUCCAGAGAACGACUCCUCUGUUACAGUGCCAGCUCCACCACCUCAGAGUCAGACUCCCCGUGGCCCUGCUUCCUUGUUCCCUACCCAGGCUGCACUGACUGCCGUGCCCCCGCAACUCAGCGAUGGACCCAUCGCCAUCUCUCCUGAACAGGCCCAGAAGCUGAGAGUUGACCUGGCUCUGGUCAGGGGGAACCUGACUGUGAUGACUGAGAUGUUGAACCAGUUGACGCCUGGACAGAGCCAGCAGGAGGACUCUGAGCUACUGCAGCAGUUGUACCAGGUGUGCAGGGAGAUGCAGAGCCGUGUGGUGGAGCUGAUCCCCAGGCUGCUGGACGAGGGCCUCAUAGAGGAGCUGCUGGUCGUCAACGAUGACUUAAACAAUGCCUUCCUCCGCUACGACAGGUUGGACAGACUCAAUCAGGCCCAGAGAACAGCUACAGAGCAGACUCCUGCCAGGGCCAACCUCAUUGACCUCAGCCCUGUGCCCCAGUCCCUCAGCCAACCAGAAACCACCUCUGUGGCCGCCAGCGCUCCCUCCAAUCAGAGGCAGGCAGCCAACCACAGUGCACCAGAGGAGGAUGAGUUUGACAUGUUUGCACAGACCAGGGGCAGCUCUCUGGCCGAUCAGAGGAAGAGUAUGCGGUACGAGGACCCAGGAGCAGUGGAAGGACUGGCUGGAGCCCUGGACACUAGGUUACAGGUCACUGGAGCGAUUCCUUCGUCUAAGCCUGGUCCUAAGAACUCCACCCUGGGAGACAUUGACAGAUGGCUGUCUGCGGACACAGAAACGCAACCAGAGGCUGGGGACAGGGAAGGGCUGACCAGUGAGGAGUUUGACAGGUUUCUGGAGGAAAGGGCGAAGGUGGCCGACCACAUUCCCUCAACACACAGCCUGCUCCCCGUCUCGUCCAGGCCCCCGCCUCAAUCCGCCCAACCACAGGAGAGCUCCCAUGACCAGCUUUUCUCACUCUGAGAGAACGGCGCACGCACAGCACAGAGAAAGCUCAUCAGAGAGUUCCUGACUCUUCAGGAGCAAGGCAUACUGCCAAACUACAUCACUGUCAAUCACAUGAGAAAGCCUUCCUGAAGAAGUGAGCGAAACCUCAAGUUUCACCGACUCCAGUACAGUAUGAUGCACACAAAUAUAUAGACCGAUGGAUAGAUAGGCCCACAGGGAUAGACAUGGAAACAUAAGAGUGAUUGAUACAAGUUGUAUGUCUUGUGUAUAAAUGGCAGAAUGGAGAGACAUCCACGUCAUUGAGCUGUUGAGUAGAUACUGUAUAUAGAUAAAGCUGUGAUAGUCUGAACAAAAUUACAAUUUCAACUACACUGAACAAAAAUAGAAACGCAACAUGUAAAGUGUUGGUUCCGUAUUUCAUGAGCUGAAGUAAAUAUCCCUGAAAUGUUUAAUACGCACAAAAAGCUUAUUUCUCAAAAAUGUAGCGCACACAUUUGUUAGUGAACAUUUCUCCUUUUCCGAGCUCUGUUUGUUCACAGGAACCAGAAUCCCUCUCGAUGGAGGGCGAUGGUGGAGGUGGGAAAGGGGGAGAAGAACAAGUUCUGCAGACUGUUUGGCUGUAAAAAAUAAUAAAAAUAUAUAUAUAUUUUUUAAACGGCAAUGGAGAAACGGAUGGAGGAUUGUGAAAGGUAUUGUCUCAGGUGCUGAAUUGUCUGUCAUAGUCUGAUACAGUACAUGCUUCAUGUGUCUUUGUUUUACUGUUCUGUCUAAAUUAUGUUUUCAUGCUAUGAUUGUUAAUAUUAACACAUUAGCUGACAAUAUGUUCAAACAUUUGAUAGAAUAUCAAAUCUGAUUUAAAAAGAUUACUUUCUAGAUAACGCUUGUCAUAAUUCUCAAAUGAGUCAAAUGUAUCAGCCUCUCUACGUCAAGAAUAGGCCUACAUACAAACUCAAUGGGUCAUUAGUUGAGGCAUUCUAUCUUACAUUCUACCUUAAAUAUAUGUCUAUAUUUGGCUCUGCUUCCUCAUAUACAUGAAACUCAAGGUCAAAGCUCUUAUGGUUCCAGGUCAAUAGAGAACACCUAUCUCAACAGUAGAGGAAGUGUGUGUUAUCCGGUUUGUCCUGUAUGUUGCAGAGGAAAGCCACAUCACGUGGGCAGAGUACUCACUCAGGAAAUAACUCGAUCUGUAACUGCAUCUAAAAUAGGAAGAGGUAGCAGUGUUGCCGUGCAAGGAUUUCUCUUCUCUGUUUCCUCUACGUCUCUUCGUUCCUUCUAAUAUGAUGUCAACAUGAUUCAUUUGUAUCAAAAUGUCACAAUUAUUCACAAUAUUUAAAUUUUUCAUCAACUGUUUCAAAAUAAAUCUUAUUAUUAACUGUUUUAACAAUUGUUUUCUGAUUAAAAACCCCAUUAUUCACAUUGGCCUGUAUGUUAAUGCCAGCUGAAGAACUGAACCACCUGCCUUACAAGGAAGUGUUAACGUGCACGUCUGUCUGCUUCUGCCCAUGUUGUGCUGUUCGCUAUUGGAAACGGAGAAUUAUCAAAAUAAUAUAAAUACAGCUAGAGAACAGCGCGUGAGAGGUAACCUCUGAGAGACGACAUUAAAACAAAGUUUACUCACCUGUGCAAUGGCGAGUGAACUCUCCCCAAAUGUUUAUGGGGGUCCUCCUCCCCAGUCAGAUCUUAGACUCCUGCUGCUUGGGAGAGUAGGAGCUGGGAAAAGUACAGUCGCCAAAACCAUCCUGGGCAGAGAUAACUUCCGGAGUGAAGGAGGCAUGUGUGUGAAGAAGCAGGGUGGAAGGACCGUCACCGUGGUGGACACCCCGGGCUGGGACACUGUGAAGUACACGUCCACACACAUCAAACAAGAAAUUAAGAAGUGUGACCCUAUGUUCUCCAGGACCCCAUGCUCUUCUUCUGGUGGUGCCCAUGGGCGACCCGCUCUCCUCCGCAGAAAGAAAGGUGAUUCGGUAUCACAUGGCGCUAUUGUCAGUUAGGGCAUGGAAGUUUACCAUGCUCUUGUUUGUCUGUGAGGCUGAGGAGAAAUGCACAUCCAUUUAACAAAAUCAGAUGAUCGACAGCAAAAAGUAUUCUAGCGAAAUGUGGACACAGACACCAUCUCCUUGAGUGUGGCAAUUCUCCUCCCCAGAUUUCUGAGCUCCUGAUAAAGCUAGACGCCAUGGUAGCAGAAAACUGUGAAGAAUUCUUAAUCCCCCAAGUAUACGAUGAACUGAUGGAGACUACAAUGCCAAGGGAAGUGACCGAGCUGAGAAGGAUGUAUGAAGACCGAGAGGACAGACUGAAACAGAAACACAAAACAGAGUUGAAGGAAAAGGAAGAAGAGCUGAAGAAGUAUAGAGAAGAAGAGAAGCCUAAAGAAAGGUUGAUGAAGAGGACAAGUAGCAGUCAACUACUUCCCCCCCGGUAUAAGCACAGAGAAGCAGGACGGGUCGGUAAUGGCUGACCAUCAGAAGGUGGACCUACAGGCCGUCAAGCAAGGAUACAGGGAAGAGGCCUUGUCUGUGGUGGGCCACUACGUCAAACCACUAAUAGUGAUUAUGACUGCUGUAGUGGGGGCACUCAUGGGAGCAGUUGCAGGUGCAGAACAUGGAACACUUGGCGCAUGUACUGGUAUUCCUAUAGGCAUUAUUUUGGCCGUUCUUGUGAGUUAUGCUGUCCGUGGAGCCGCCACAGCAGCAAGGGAUAUUUCCAUCGCAGUCAAAGCCGAGGGAAAUGAAAGUCAGAGGAAAGAAGAGGGAGCAGGCUUCUUCUUAGAUUCUACAAAAUCUAAAAGAUUAGAUAAGGAUCAGUGACACUCUUUUGAAUGUCAACACUAUUGUGUGCUGUAUGGACUCUCAUGGUUCACCUGACUUGACUGGCUAACCCCAGUGAAGAGACAGGACAGACUGCCCAGCAAACCGGGAACAUACCCAAAACAUAAGAAAGGGUUUUUAUACAAAAUUAGGACGUUCUCCUAACAUUCACAAAAACGCACAACAUCUGUAACAACCACCUUUCCCCAAACAUUCUCGUUAUGUUUCCUGGUAAUGUAAUAACACAAUGUACCAGCAAUGUUUUUUGAACAUACUGCUGCAGCAAAAUGUAUGCGCAGCAUUCUGGGAACGUUCUUGCAACAUCAGGCAAAUGUUUAUACAAACAUUGUAUAAUCAUCAGCACGACGGGACAGUUUUUGUGUUAUGAUAACAUUUGCCGCAACCUAACAAAUGUUCUGGGAGUUUUCAGAGAAACAAUUUUGGUUUGUUAGACGCUCUUUCUCUCUCGCCCUCUCUCUCUCGCUCUCGCUCUCUCUCUCUCUCUUGCUCUCUCUCUCUCUUGCUCUCUCUCUCUCUUGCUCUCUCUCUCUCUCU